rnacentral:rRNA from 1 species
GACGUAGGAUGCAAGCGUUGUCCGGAUUUAUUGGGCGUAAAGAGUUCGUAGGUGGUUUGCUAAGUCUGAUGUUAAAUACUGGAGCUCAACUUCGGGACUGCAUUGGAUACUGGCAGACUUGAGUGUGGUAGAGGCAAUCGGAAUUCCAGGUGUAGCGGUGAAAUGCGUAGAUAUCAGGAAGAACACCCGUGGCUAAGGCGGCUCUCUAGUACGGUACUGACGCUGAGACGCGAAAGCGUGGGGAGCGAACAGG